GACGAACGCUGGCGGCGUGCUUAACACAUGCAAGUCGAACGGAUUGCUUGGUGCUUGCACUGAGUGGUUAGUGGCGAACGGGUGAGUAACACGUGAGUAACCUGCCCCCUUCUUUGGGAUAAGCACCUGAAAGGGUGUCUAAUACUGAUUAUUCUGCUGGAAUCGCAUGGUUUUGGUUGGAAAGGUGUUUCUGGUGGGGGAUGGGCUCGCGGCUUAUCAGCUUGUUGGUGGGGUAAUGGCUUACCAAGGCUUUGACGGGUAACCGGCCUGAGAGGGUGACCGGUCACAUUGGGACUGAGAUACGGCCCAGACUCCUACGGGAGGCAGCAGUGGGGAAUAUUGCACAAUGGACGAAAGUCUGAUGCAGCGACGCCGCGUGAGGGAUGAAGGCCUUCGGGUUGUAAACCUUUUUCGCUUUUGACCAAGGCAGCAUUUUGGUGUUGUUGAGGGUAUGAGGUAAAGAAGCUCCGGCUAACUACGUGCCAGCCGCCGCCGUAAAAC
rnacentral:rRNA from 1 species